CAUUGUGACUGUAGCUAUUCAAGCGUCUAAACUUUUCUUUCUCUUCAAAAGAUAUCUUUCAGGAACCCCAAGGAUGUGGCUGGAAUCUUCUGGUGGUGGUCAGUUUUCUGGAUAUUUCGGUCAACAAUAUCCUCACCCACCUGCCAAUUGAGAGAAAGAGGGAGAAAAGAAUAGACGGGGAGAAGGGGGAGAUGUCUGAAUUUGGGGAGUAAAAUUUCAGCUUGCCCAAAGAGCUCCUGGAGAGAGCCUGGAUGGUGGAGAGACGGCAAAGGACCACCUUGCCUUCACAUACUCAGCGUUUUCUCAUCCCCCCUUCACAAAUGACGACUUGUCCACUCUGCUUCCCACUCCCUUGCCUUCAUAAAAACCCCAGGCCAUCCUUCCUUCCCUCUGAGAUGUUCCUCUGCGUUAAUGAAUGUCCUCCCUGUUGCAAUAGCCUGAAUAAAAUCAUCUCUUUAAUUA